UACGUAGGGAGCGAGCGUUGUCCGGAUUCAUUGGGCGUAAAGAGCUCGUAGGCGGCUUGGUAAGUCGGAUGUGAAACCUCCAGGCUCAACCUGGAGUCGCCAUCCGAUACUGCCAUGGCUAGAGUCCGGUAGGGGCCCACGGAAUUCCUGGUGUAGCGGUGAAAUGCGUAGAGACCCGGAGGAACACCAGUGGCGAAGGCGGCUUCCUGGUCUGCGACUGACGCUGUGGCGCGAAAGCUAGGGGAGCAAACGGG
rnacentral:rRNA from 1 species